rnacentral:lncRNA from 1 species
AUAGGCGGGAUAUAAAUAAAAUAAAAUAAAAUUAAAAUAUACUUAUUUAUCCAUCUGUCUGCCCUCUUUUCUUUGAGCCAGAGUGGUCUAGUAUCAGACUACUUCCAUAAUGGGUUCUAGAGAGAACACUCCUUAUUAGCCCUUUGCUAAAAUGUGAUCAAAUAGCCCAAAUCCUCUUGUGCGACUUUACUGCUGUGCACGUCGGAGGAUGUCAUCAUUGGGCAACCAGGAUAUUUCAUUUAAAUUAAUAGAAAGCAUCCUGUCACCGCAGAGCCUCGGGAUCUGUGGAGGGGAGCCUUUAAAAGACAAAAACUGUUGCCAGAUUGCCACUGCUGGGACUGUGCCCAUUGGCAAGAAUUGGGCUAUGGUUUUUGCCUAUUAAGGUUUCUGCCACAACCUCAGACUCCCAAAAGCUUUCCCAGGGCAAAAGGGAGCCCUGGGGUGCGUUGGAAACCCAGAGGAGGGAAUAUGAUGCUCUAGAUCAAUUUAAAUUAAAUAUGCUGUUUUCCAGAUGGCGAUGUUACACGGUUUGCAUGGUAUAAGUUAUGCCAGCUGGAUUCCAGGCAAUGUAGAGGGGACACACAGAGAGAGAUAGAGAAGGAAGUGAUUUUGAGAUGGAAGACAUUCUUUGUUCCAGAUGAACCUCCUUCGUUCUCAGUACAUGGACAUUUUUCUCGUGUGUAAAUACCAGGUAGACCUUUGGAGAUGCUGCUGCCCUCGUGUUGUUGUGCAAUAUGUCUUUAACUUUAAUCACUUGCUGGCAUUCAGCCAGAUUCUGAUUCAGGUGAUCUGCUCUUCAGCAGAAAUCUGU